rnacentral:tRNA from 1 species
GGUGGGGUAUCCAAGUGGCCAAAGGGUGCAGACUGUAAAUCUGUCGGUCUUCGACCUUCGGGGGUUCGACUCCCUCCCCCACCACCA